CGAGCGGACAGAAGGGAGCUUGCUCCCGGAUGUUAGCGGCGGACGGGUGAGUAACACGUGGGUAACCUGCCUGUAAGACUGGGAUAACUCCGGGAAACCGGAGCUAAUACCGGAUAGUUCCUUGAACCGCAUGGUUCAAGGAUGAAAGACGGUUUCGGCUGUCACUUACAGAUGGACCCGCGGCGCAUUAGCUAGUUGGUGGGGUAAUGGCUCACCAAGGCGACGAUGCGUAGCCGACCUGAGAGGGUGAUCGGCCACACUGGGACUGAGACACGGCCCAGACUCCUACGGGAGGCAGCAGUAGGGAAUCUUCCGCAAUGGACGAAAGUCUGACGGAGCAACGCCGCGUGAGUGAUGAAGGUUUUCGGAUCGUAAAGCUCUGUUGUUAGGGAAGAACAAGUGCGAGAGUAACUGCUCGCACCUUGACGGUACCUAACCAGAAAGCCACGGCUAACUACGUGCCAGCAGCCGCGGUAAUACGUAGGUGGCAAGCGUUGUCCGGAAUUAUUGGGCGUAAAGGGCUCGCAGGCGGUUUCUUAAGUCUGAUGUGAAAGCCCCCGGCUCAACCGGGGAGGGUCAUUGGAAACUGGGAAACUUGAGUGCAGAAGAGGAGAGUGGAAUUCCACGUGUAGCGGUGAAAUGCGUAGAGAUGUGGAGGAACACCAGUGGCGAAGGCGACUCUCUGGUCUGUAACUGACGCUGAGGAGCGAAAGCGUGGGGAGCGAACAGGAUUAGAUACCCUGGUAGUCCACGCCGUAAACGAUGAGUGCUAAGUGUUAAGGGGGUUUCCGCCCCUUAGUGCUGCAGCUAACGCAUUAAGCACUCCGC
rnacentral:rRNA from 1 species